GAUGAACGCUGGCGGCGUGCCUAAUACAUGCAAGUCGAGCGAACAGACGAUGAGCUUGCUCCUCUGACGUUAGCGGCGGACGGGUGAGUAACACGUGGAUAACCUACCUCUAAUACUGGGAUAACUUCGGGAAACCGGAUCUAAUACCGGAUAAUAUAUUGAACCGCAUGGUUCAAUAGUGAAAGACGGUUUUGCUGUCACUUAUAGAUGGAUCCGCGCCGCAUUAGCUAGUUGGUAAGGUAACGGCUUACCAAGGCGACGAUGCGUAGCCGACCUGAGAGGGUGAUCGGCCACACUGGAACUGAGACACGGUCCAGACUCCUACGGGAGGCAGCAGUAGGGAAUCUUCCGCAAUGGGCGAAAGCCUGACGGAGCAACGCCGCGUGAGUGAUGAAGGUCUUCGGAUCGUAAAACUCUGUUAUUAGGGAAGAACAAAUGUGUAAGUAACUAUGCACGUCUUGACGGUACCUAAUCAGAAAGCCACGGCUAACUACGUG
rnacentral:rRNA from 1 species